UACAGAGGUCUCAAGCGUUGUUCGGAUUCAUUGGGCGUAAAGAGCGUGUAGGCGGCCAGAUAAGUCCGGUGUGAAAGUCACAGGCUCAACCUGUGAAUGCCGCUGGAAACUGUCUGGCUUGAGUCCGGAAGGGGCGAGUGGAAUUCCUGGUGUAGCGGUGAAAUGCGCAGAUAUCAGGAGGAACACCAAUGGCGAAGGCAGCUCGCUGGAACGGUACUGACGCUGAGGCGCGAAAGCGUGGGGAGCAAACAGG
rnacentral:rRNA from 1 species